ACGGGAGGCAGCAGUGGGGAAUAUUGGACAAUGGGGGGAACCCUGAUCCAGCCAUGCCGCGUGUGUGAAGAAGGUCUUCGGAUUGUAAAGCACUUUAAGUUGGGAGGAAGGGCUCCGGGUUAAUACCCUGUGAGUUUUGAC
rnacentral:rRNA from 1 species